GCGCCGGCCAUUCCGCCGCCGGCAAGGUUGAGGCCCCAGGCGACCCAGCCGGAGGGGGAGGGAGGAGAGGCGGAGAAGGCGACGGAGAGGGUGCGGUUGGUGGCGUUGAAGGUGAAGUGGAGGGUGGCGCCGAGGGUGGGGAGGUUGGUGCAGUUGGCGUAGGUGCGGUUGAGCUUCUGGGAAGCACAAGUGAGGGCAGAAUGGGAAGGGGUGGAAAAUAGAGAAAAUAGAAUGAUGAAGAGGGAAAUGGUGGUCAUGGGUGUGAAGGGUAGAUCAUGGAGUGCCAUUGGUGGUGGGACUGAAAAAG
rnacentral:lncRNA from 1 species